UCCUGGUUUCCCAGGCAGUCCCGAUAGAGUGCCUCCUUACGGAGUUGCAACUAACGGCAGGAGUUGCGCUCGUUAAAGGACUUAACCCAACAUCUCACGACACGAGCUGACGACAGCCAUGCAGCACCUGUAAAAUUGUUUAUGCUUUCGCAUAAAAAACCGUAUUUCUACGGUUGUCAAAAAUAUGUCAAGCCUAGGUAAGGUUCCUCGCGUAGUGUCGAAUUAAACCACAUGUUCCACCGCUUGUGCGGACCCCCGUCAAUUCCUUUGAGUUUUAAUCUUGCGACCGUACUUCCCAGGCGAAUCACUUAACGCGUUAGCUGCGACACUAACCGAGCAAGCUCGAUUAACAUCUAGUGAUUAUCGUUUACGGCGUGGACUAC
rnacentral:misc_RNA from 1 species